rnacentral:rRNA from 1 species
UGGGGAAUAUUGGACAAUGGGCGCAAGCCUGAUCCAGCAAUGCCGCGUGAGUGAUGAAGGCCUUAGGGUUGUAAAGCUCUUUCGCCCGCGACGAUGAUGACGGUAGCGGGAGAAGAAGCCCCGGCUAACUUCGUGCCAGCAGCCGCGGUAAUACGAAGGGGGCGAGCGUUGUUCGGAUUUACUGGGCGUAAAGGGCGCGUAGGCGGCCCUCCUUGUCGCGUGUGAAAGCCCCGGGCUCAACCUGGGAAUUGCGCGCGAAACGGGGGGGCUUGAGUUCGGGAGAGGAGCGUGGAAUUCCCAGUGUAGAGGUGAAAUUCGUAGAUAUUGGGAAGAACACCGGUGGCGAAGGCGGCGCUCUGGACCGAGACUGACGCUGAGGCGCGAAAGCGUGGGGAGCAAACAGGAUUAGAUACCCCCGUAGUCC